rnacentral:rRNA from 1 species
GAUGAACGCUGACAGAAUGCUUAACACAUGCUAGUCAACUGUGGCGGACGGUUGAGUAACGCGUAAAGAACUGGACUAACAGCUAGGGACAACAUUUGGAAAAGAAUGCUAAUACUUUAUACGGUGAGAGGGCUUUGCGUCCCAUUAGCUCGUUGGAGAGGUAACGGCUCACCAAGGCGCGGGUGGGUAGCCGGCCUGAGAGGGUGAACGGCCACAAGGGGACGGAGACACGGCCCUUACUCCAACGGGAGGCAGCAGUGGGGAUGAUUGGACAAUGGACCAAAGUCUGGUCCAGCAAUUCGGUGUGCACAAUGAAGUUUUCGGAAUGUAAAGUUCUUUCAGUUGGGAAGCGGUACCAACAGAAGAAGUGACGGCUAAAUACGUGCCAGCAGCCGCGGGAAUAC